rnacentral:lncRNA from 1 species
UAAAAUUCACUGAAUUGUUUUUUUUUUUUUACAUUUCAUAUAUAUUCAUCUAUAAAUAUAUAAUUUUAUAAUAUUAAUAAUCAUCUAUAAAUAUAUAUUUUAUAAUAUUAAAAAUUAUAUAUAAAUAUAAAGUUUUAAUUAAAAAAAUUUAAAAAUCGCAUGAUUAUUUUAUAUUAAGGGGGAGGUAAUCUCACAUCUUUAUCUAAAAAAUGGCAGAAUUCACAAAUACAAAUUUCAACUUUAGCCUACAGAAUAGAAGAAAUGUAACUGCAACAGUUACAAUUGCAUAGAAUCAAACAUGCUAGGUUACGAUUGCAGUAUUUGCAACUGCAUGUAUUUUCAACUACAUAAUUAUUGCAACUAUAUCCAAUCAAACUGCCGCCCCUUAGUAAUCUUAUAUAGCACGGCCCAAACAACCCCUUAGAUUUAUUUGAGAUGGC